AACGCACGAGACCUGCGGACCUGCGGAGGGAUCAUUAAUGAGAAACUGCCCCUCGCGGGUAGAUCUCCCACCCUUUGUAAACUUACCUUUGUUGCUUUGGCAGGCCCGUCUCCGGACCGCCGGCUUCGGCUGGCCAGUGCCUGCCAGAGGAUUCUAAAACUCUGUCUGUCAGUGGUGUCUGAGUCUAUAUACAAUCGUUAAAACUUUUAGCAAUGGAUCUCUAGAUCGGAAGAGCACACG
rnacentral:misc_RNA from 1 species